AGCUUUGUAAAGCACCGUAAAAGCAAACAUCGAUCUGUCACAGCAAGAGGCAGAAACCUAUCUGCGCUCAGGUAGCGCGGCCCCAGGAACUUUUGGCAGGAAGGCACUACAUCAAAGUAGAAGACAGAAUAAGAUAAUGCUGCAUGUAUUGGGCUCUAAUUUGCCAGUCAGUAGCCUUGGAAGACGAAUUACCAGGUCUUUUGUCUACAAUCAGAACAGACACAUAUAGUGAAGAGUUUUAUUGAAGGCUUCUUUGUAAAUUUAUCUGUGAAAUAAAGAUCCUAUAUAAACUAU